rnacentral:rRNA from 1 species
ACAACCGAGGUGCAAAGGCUGUCGCUGACCCUCAAAGGUUGUGCACGCCCGAGCGCUCUCACACAAUCCAUCUCACCUUUGUGCAUCACCGCGUGGGUCCCCUUUGCGGGAGGGCUCGCGUUUUCACAUAAUAACUCGAUACAGUGUAGAAUGUUUCUUUUGCGGUCACACGCAAUCAAUACAACUUUCAACAACGGAUCUCUUGGCUCUCGCAUCGAUGAAGAACGCAGCGAAAUGCGAUACGUAAUGUGAAUUGCAGAAUUCAGUGAAUCAUCGAAUCUUUGAACGCACCUUGCGCCCCUUGGCAUUCCGAGGGGCACACCCGUUUGAGUGUCGUGAAUUCUUCAAAACCCUUUUUUCUUCGAACCAUCGUGGUCGGGAAAAGGAUUUUUGGACUUGGAGGUUUAAUGCUCGCCCUUUCUUUUGAAAGCGAGCUCCUCUCAAAUGAAUUAGUGGGGUCCGCUUUGCUGAUCCUUGACGUGAUAAAAUGUUUCUACGUUUUGGGUUUAGCACUGUCGCUUGGNUGCCUGCUCCUAACCCGUCUCAUUGACAAUGAUGGUGCUCUGGUCACUGCCGUCUACAUCGGCGGGAGGCUGGACCACAAAAGAAAANCCUUGA